AAACGCCUAGGAAGCGUCCUCCCCCACCCCCCGCAGGCUGCCCUGGGGCUUGUAGUUCCGCCGCUGCCGGCUCCCCCGCCGAGACCCGCCUGAGAAAACUACACGUCCCGCCGUGCAAAGCGACCCCGGCCCUCCCCCGCCUGUAGCACACGCGGAGAGAGACGAGGGUGAGCCCGGCCCACCCUCAUUCCUGGAAGGGCUACUCCAAGGUUGAGUGAAUGACCUCUGCAGAGAGCUGAUCCAGGAUGGCAGUCACAUAAGUGGUGAAGAACAAGACAGUGCUGUUAAGGAAAUGAUGAGUGGAGUGGCAAUGGAAAGAAAGAUCUGUCUCCA